rnacentral:rRNA from 1 species
GAUCCUGGCUCAGGAUGAACGCUGGCGGCGUGCUUAACACAUGCAAGUCGAACGAAGAUACUUAAAAUGAGAGCUUCGGCAGGAUUUUUAUUUAUCUUAGUGGCGGACGGGUGAGUAACGUGUGGGCAACCUGCCCUAUACUGGGGAAUAAUCACUGGAAACGGUGACUAAUACCGCAUAAGCCCACGGCUCGGCAUCGAGCAGAGGGAAAAGGAGCAAUCCGCUUUGAGAUGGCCUCGCGUCCG